UACGAGAGGCCCAAACGUUAUUCGGAUUUACUGGGCUUAAAGAGUUCGUAGGCGGUGCAGAUAGUGGGGUGUGAAAGCCCUCGGCUCAACCGAGGAAUUGCGCUCCAAACUACCACACUCGAGGGAGAUAGAGGUGAGCAGAACUGAUGGUGGAGCGGUGAAAUGCGUUGAUAUCAUCAGGAAUACCGGAGGCGAAGGCGGCUCACUGGGUCUCUUACUGA
rnacentral:rRNA from 1 species